rnacentral:rRNA from 1 species
GAUGAACGCUGGCGGCGUGCUUAACACAUGCAAGUCGAACGGUGAACGAGGGAGCUUGCUCCCUCCGGAUCAGUGGCGAACGGGUGAGUAACACGUGAGCAAUCUGCCCUGGACUCUGGGAUAAGCGUUGGAAACGACGUCUAAUACCGGAUACGAGACGUGGGGGCAUCCCCAACGCCUGGAAAGAACUUCGGUCCAGGAUGAGCUCGCGGCCUAUCAGCUAGUUGGUGAGGUAACGGCUCACCAAGGCGACGACGGGUAGCCAGCCUGAGAGGGUGACCGGCCACACUGGGACUGAGACACGGCCCAGACUCCUACGGGAGGCAGCAGUGGGGAAUAUUGCACAAUGGGCGCAAGCCUGAUGCAGCAACGCCGCGUGAGGGACGACGGCCUUCGGGUUGUAAACCUCUUUUACCAGGGACGAUAAUGACGGUACCUGGAGAAAAAGCCCCGGCUAACUUCGUGCCAGCCGCCGCGGUAAAAC